GUACUUCAUCGUUAUCUACUGAAAAAAAAAAAGUACUGAUGUCUUUAUCCUUGGAGAGGAGAGGUGUAAUCGAGAUGGAGAAGAUGAGACAAAUGGAGCACAUAGAAGCCACACAACCUUCCUAAAGUCACGCAGCUGGAGGCCGCACAGCCAGAUGGCUCCAGAGGACAUGUCCUUAAUCAUGAUGUUGCUAUUUAGCAGAAACAUCGCUGCAGAAAGUCAGACCACAGAUGGGGACUGGUGGAAACCAAACAUAUGACUACAUCAGUCUACAAAAGCAUCAUGGUAUUCCCACAUAAUUCAGAAGCAUGCCAGGCCAUUCAGAAUCUACAGACCAGAGCAAUCAUGCAAGAUAAUGGAAGAUAAUGACAAAACAAUAUAAUGACAAGAUAAUGGAAGAUAGUGACAAAAAUAUUCUGAGCAUCAUUGAUUUAGUCACCCUUUAUUUCAUAAACAUCUUAGAAUUUUCUUCCCA
ensembl:lncRNA novel transcript